UAAGAAGUUACUUAAGGGCGAACGGAGGAUGCCUAGGCUUCUAUGGGCGAAGAAGGACGCGGUAAGCUGCGAAAAACUGCGGGGAUUUGCAAACGAGAGUUGAUCCGCAGGUGUCCGAAUGGGGAAACCCGUCAGGUUGAAGGCCUGACACAUGUUUACAUGAGCCAACGCAGGGAACUGAAACAUCUUAGUACCUGCAGGAAAAGAAAGAAAAAUCGAUUCUCUGAGUAGUGGCGAGCGAAAGGGGAACAGCCCAAACCGGGUUUGUUGCGGCAAAUUCGGGGUUGUAGGACUGCGACACUUUAUCUUAGUAAGAAGUGGAACAAAUUGGAAAAUUUGGUCGAAGAGGGUGAUAAUCCCGUACACGUAAAGACUAAGAUAGACAGCAGUAUCCUGAGUAAGGCGGGACACGAGGAAUCCUGUCUGAAUUUGCGGGGACCAUCCCGUAAGGCUAAAUACCAAUAGAAGACCGAUAGUGAACCAGUACUGUGAAGGAAAGGUGAAAAGUACCCCGAACAGGGGGGUGAAAAAGAACCUGAAACCGUUCGCUUACAAGCGGUCGGAGUCCCUUAGGGGAUGACGGCGUGCCUUUUGCAUAAUGAGCCUACGAGUUGCAUCUCACUAGCGAGGUUAAGUACUUAAGGUACGGAGCCGAAGCGAAAGCGAGUCUGAACAGGGCGCUUAGUUAGUGGGAGCAGACGCGAAACCUUGUGAUCUACCCUUGACCAGGUUGAAGGAGCCGUAACAGGCUGUGGAGGACCGAACCAGUUUCCGUUGAAAAGGAUUUGGAUGAGUUGAGGGUAGGGGUGAAAGGCUAAUCAAACUGGGAGAUAGCUCGUACUCCCCGAAAUGUCUUUUGGGACAGCCUCGAGUAAUAGCUUAUCGGAGGUAGAGCUACUGAUAGGAUGCGAGGGCUUCAUCGCCUAUCAAUUCCUGACAAACUCCGAAUGCCGGUAAGUGUUUCUCGGGAGUGAGUCGUUGGGUGCUAAUGUCCGGCGGCGAGAGGGAAAGAGCCCAGACCAACAGCUAAGGCCCUAAAACGUGUGUUAAGUUGAUAGAACGAUGUCUGGUUGCAGCGACAGCUAGGAUGUUAGCUUGGAAGCAGCUAUUCAUUUAAAGAGUGCGUAACAGCUCACUAGUCGAGCGACCGGGCGUGGAUAAUAAUCGGGCAUCAAGCACACUGCCGAAGCUAUGGACUGUAUUUAUAUAGUGGUAGGGGAGCAUUCCAUUCAGCGCAGAAGGUAAACCGUGAGGUUUGCUGGAGUGUAUGGAAAAGAAGAUGUAGGCAUAAGUAACGAUAAUGCAGGCGAGAAACCUGCACACCGAAAACCCAAGGUUUCCUGAUCAACGUUAAUCGGAUCAGGGUCAGUCGGGGCCUAAGGGGAAGCCGAAAGGCGGACCUGAUGGACAAAUGGUUAAUAUUCCAUUACCUGUAUAUCGAGUUAAGGAGAGACGGAGUAGUGACACACACGCCAGCUGACGGAAUAGCUGGUUGAAGGCCGUAGGUAGACGACCGGGUUAACAGCCUGGUAGUGCUGAUGGCUUACAGUACACAGAUUCUUCGGAUGAAGUGAUAGUUGUGGUAAACAGACUUCCAAGAAAAUCUCCGGCGCGUUAAUUGAUAUACAGCCCGUACCGUAAACCGACACAGGUGGGUGAGGAGAGAAUCCUAAGGUGCUCGAGUGAAUCAUGGCUAAGGAACUCGGCAAAUUAACCCCGUAACUUCGGGAGAAGGGGACCCUAGAGAUAGGGCGCAGAGAAAUGGCCCAGGCGACUGUUUAACAAAAACACAGGGCUUUGCUAAAUCGAAAGAUGAAGAAUAAGGCCUGACACCUGCCCGGUGCUGGAAGGUUAAGAGGGGAUGUUAGCGCAAGCGAAGCAUUGAAUCGAAGCCCCAGUAAACGGCGGCCGUAACUAUAACGGUCCUAAGGUAGCGAAAUUCCUUGUCGGGUAAGUUCCGACCUGCACGAAUGGUGUAACGAUCUGGGUACUGUCUCAGCCAUGAGCUCGGUGAAAUUGUAGUAACGGUGAAGAUGCCGUUUACCCGCAACGGGACGGAAAGACCCCGUGAACCUUUACUGCAACUUAGCGCUGAUUUUGGGUAAUUGAUGUGUAGGAUAGGUGGGAGACUGCGAAGCAGGUACGCCAGUAUUUGUGGAGUCAAUGUUGAAAUACCACCCUUUGAUUAUUUGGAAUCUAACUUCGAGAGAAAGACACCGCUUGGUGGGUAGUUUGACUGGGGUGGUCGCCUCCAAAAGAGUAACGGAGGCUUCCCAAGGUGCACUCCGCACGAAUGGUAACCGUGCAAAGAGUAUAUUGGUACAAGUGCGCUUGACUGUGAGACAUACAAGUCGACCAGGUACGAAAGUAGGGCAAAGUGAUCCGGUGGUUCCGCAUGGGUGGGCCAUCGCUCAAAGGAUAAAAGGUACUCCGGGGAUAACAGGCUGAUCGCUCCCAAGAGCUCAAAUCGACGGAGCGGUUUGGCACCUCGAUGUCGGCUCGUCACAUCCUGGGGCUGGAGCAGGUCCCAAGGGUUCGGCUGUUCGCCGAUUAAAGUGGCACGCGAGCUGGGUUCAGAACGUCGUGAGACAGUUCGGUCCCUAUCUGUUGUGGGCGUAGGAAGUUUGAGGGGGUCUGACCUUAGUACGAGAGGACCGGGUUGGACGCACCGCUAGUUUACCGGUUGUGGCGCCAGCUGCACCGCCGGGUAGCUAUGUGCGGUUUAGAUAAGCGCUGAAAGCAUCUAAGCGCGAAGCUAGCCCCAAGAUGAGACUUCCCUUGAGGGUCGUGGGAGACUACCACGUUGAUAGGCUGUAGGUGUAAAGGCAGUAAUGUCAAAGCCGAGCAGUACUAAUAGCCCGAUAGGCUUCUUAUA
rfam:Bacteroidales bacterium CF, complete genome.